ensembl:Y_RNA Y_RNA Y RNA
GGCUGGUCCAAGUGCAGUGGUGUUUACAACUAAUUGAUCACAACCAGUCACAGAUUUCUUUGUUCCUUCUCCACUCCCACUGCUUCACUUGACUAGACUUUA